rnacentral:rRNA from 1 species
UACGAAGGGGGCUAGCGUUGCUCGGAAUCACUGGGCGUAAAGGGUGCGUAGGCGGGUCUUUAAGUCAGGGGUGAAAUCCUGGAGCUCAACUCCAGAACUGCCUUUGAUACUGAGGAUCUUGAGUUCGGGAGAGGUGAGUGGAACUGCGAGUGUAGAGGUGAAAUUCGUAGAUAUCGGGAGGAACACCAGUGGCGAAGGCGGCUCUCUGGGCAGAUACGUGACGCUGAGACGCGAAAGCGUGGGGAGCGAACAGGA